rnacentral:misc_RNA from 1 species
AAGUCGUAACAAGGUAACCGUUGGUGAACCAGCGGUUGGAUCAUUUCUGUUUUUUCAAAAGAAACAACAAAGUGGGAGAGUUGCACCCUUUUCUUCAUAAAAUCUUAAAAGAUUGUGUGUGUUUUUAAAAAUGACGAAAGAAAAACCAAUUUUUAUUGAAAAAUAAAAAACAAAAUUAAAUUUACAGUUUUAACGGUGGAUCUCUAGGCUCGU